rnacentral:rRNA from 1 species
UACAGAGGUCUCAAGCGUUGUUCGGAUUCAUUGGGCGUAAAGGGUGCGUAGGCGGCGCGGUAAGUCGGGUGUGAAAUCUCGGAGCUUAACUCCGAAACUGCAUUCGAUACUGCGGUGCUUGAGGACUGGAGAGGAGACUGGAAUUCAUGGUGUAGCAGUGAAAUGCGUAGAGAUCAUGAGGAAGACCAGUGGCGAAGGCGGGUCUCUGGACAGUUCCUGACGCUGAGGCACGAAGGCCAGGGGAGCAAACGGG